UUCGCUUUAUGGCGUGCUCGUUUGGGUUGGGCGUCGGCUAAGAGUGCUCGGAGCGUGGAUUAACUCCAGUCUCCUAUCAGGUGUGUAUUUCUCACUACUCUAGCUGUAGGAUGGCUACUUCGGGCGGCGAUGGGCCGAAAGGGGCUAUGUGGGCCCAAUGGGCUUACAGGCCCAAUUGGAUAAGUUGUUUGAUUUUGUAGUAAAUAUUGGACUAGGCUAGGUGAAUCUAAUAUUUGUGGCUAGAUUUGGGCUAAAAGGGCCACACGAGCGUGUGGGCCUAUUUGGGCCGAGAAUGGGCUUUAGGGCCAUUUGUAUUGUUAUCUCUGUUUAGAAUACUUUAGUUUACCAAUUACUGAAAUGCCCUCGAUUUAUAGAAUUACUAUUUUACCCUCAAUUUACAAAAUUACUGUUUUACCCUCGAUUUCUAGAAUUACUAUUUUACCAUCGAUUUAUAGAAUUAUCGUUUUACCCUCGAUUUACAGAAUUAUCAUUUUACCAUCGAUUUACAAAAUUACCAAAAUACCCUCGAUUAGGAAAAUUACCAAAAUACCCCUGGUUUGUAAAAUUACCAAAAUACCCCUGAUUUACAAAAUUAUAGAAAUACCCUUGACUUUCUAAAAAUUAUAGAAAUACCAUUGGUUUACAAAAUUACUGAAAUACCCUUGGUUUGUAGAUUUACCAAAACACCCUUGUAGGAUGAAAUGACUAAAAUACCCCUAAUAGGUAAAAGACCGUAAAGCCCCUGUAGGGUAAAGUGACCGUAAUACCCCUGUAUGGUAAAAUGACAAAUAUGCCCUUAUGUUCCGUAUGACUGGUGUGCUUAGGAUUUACAUAUAUUGAUAUUGGAUUAGUUAAGUUUGAGCGAUAGGUGGUGGUUAUCGUAGGUGAUUGAUUUUGGAAACGUUUCAACUUCAACCCAUAACAGGUGUGUAAUAACCCCCGUAAGAUCUUAGACUAAUAUUCGCUGAAAAGCCGAAAUGCUUAAAAUCUGGCAUUUCGGGAACUUGUGAUUUUUCCUUUGCUUAAAGAUGCGAUAGAUACGAUAUGAUCGGUGUUUGGAUUGAUGGAGCAGGUAAGAGCGCAAUUUUGUACACGAUGGUAAGUUGGGCCUCAAUGGGCUGGAAUCAGGAAUCGGGCCCAAUGGGCUUUCGGGCCCAUUUGGGUAAAACUGAUAGAAAAUGGAAUCUGAAAAAGUUGCAUGUUAACACGGUUAGUACUAUUGUAAAAUUUGGAUUAAGCAGGCUUAGUGGGCUAAAUUAGCAUUCGUAGGGCCCAUUAGGGGUUUUGGGCCCAAAAGCCCGAAUUUGAUAAAGUGGGUCAAAGAUCAUUGUUUAAACACUUGAAAAUAUUGAUAAUUGUUAAUGAACAUGGAAAACCCUGAUAUUUGGUAAAAUUACGAAAUUACCCUUAUAAUAAGAAAAAUGACUGUUUUGCCCUUGUGGGCAAGUGACUAACUUGGACUGUGUGGUUGAUGGAUUUGAUUGUGAAUAUAUGUUGGUGAUAUGAAUGACUUGACUGUGAUUGUUUGAUUCAAAUAUGGGCAUGACAUUCUGCAUACAUGACAUGUUGCAUGGGUUGGUUUUAUAAAUGGAGGAAGUGCUAAAAGGGUUAUGCCCCAGUUUACCGAAAAGGGCUUUGCCCCAGUUUACUGAAAAGGGCUUUGCCCCAGUUUAUCAAAAAGGGCUUUGUCCAAGUUAUUAAAAGAGGCUAGGCCUCCAGUUAUAUGAUAAAGCAGCUAUGCUGCCAGUGGAGAGUUUGGUUGGGUGGGUUGAGUUAUUCCCCACAUGGUGUGUUGGUUGGUACGGGUGGAGAGUAGCGAAUGGUGGGUUGAGUAGUCUCCCCAAAUGGGCUUGCAUACAUUCAUUGAUAUUACAUGUGAUAUUGAAAUGGGCCUAUGGGCCAUACCGCUUACAGUAAAGGCUUCGGCCAGUGAUAUGAUUUAUGAAAAGGCUUCGGCCCAGUGAUAUGAUUUAUGAAAAGGCUUCGGCCCAGUCUCUGACGAGACCGAAUUAGGGCUUAGGCCCAUAUUGCUACUGUUUAAGGGCUAAGGCCCAGACUUUACUGUUACUGAAUAGGGCUUUGGCCCAGAUUGUACUGACACUGUGUUAUUCACUGUUUGUUUGUUGUUGGGGAUUACACAUUGAGUUUUCGUAAACUCACCCCGUUUCUAACUGUGUAGGUAAUCCCUAAGCUUAGAUGGUUUGGAGCUGCGAGGGACUCGGAGAUGGCCACACUACUAUUUCUGUUUCUUUUAAUUGCAAUAAGUAGCCGAUUUAUUUCUUUAUAAGUUUUAUCUUAAUUAAUAUUAUUAUUUGGUUUUGGGUUGUAAUAAGGCCAUUUUAAUUAUUUUUCUGGGAUUAUUUUAUUUUAUA
rnacentral:lncRNA from 1 species